GGGGAAUAUUGGAUAAUGGGCGUAAGCCUGAUCCAGCCAUGCCGCGUGAGUGAUGAAGGCCUUAGGGUUGUAAAGCUCUUUCAGUGGGGACGAUAAUGACGGUACCCACAGAAGAAGCCCCGGCUAACUUCGUGCCAGCAGCCGCAGUAAUACGAAGGGGGCUAGCGUUGUUCGGAUUUACUGGGCGUAAAGCGCACGUAGGCGGAUCGUUAAGUCGGGGGUGAAAUCCUGGAGCUCAACUCCAGAACUGCCUUCGAUACUGGCGAUCUUGAGUCCGGAAGAGGUGAGUGGAACUCCUAGUGUAGAGGUGGAAUUCGUAGAUAUUAGGAAGAACACCAGUGGCGAAGGCGGUUCACUGGUCUGGUACUGACGCUGAGGUGCGAAAGCGUGGGGAGCAAAC
rnacentral:rRNA from 1 species